rnacentral:rRNA from 1 species
UACGAAGGGGGCUAGCGUUGUUCGGAAUUACUGGGCGUAAAGCGCACGUAGGCGGAUUGUUAAGUUAGGGGUGAAAUCCCAGGGCUCAACCCUGGAACUGCCUUUAAUACUGGCAAUCUCGAGUCCGAGAGAGGUGAGUGGAAUUCCGAGUGUAGAGGUGAAAUUCGUAGAUAUUCGGAGGAACACCAGUGGCGAAGGCGGCUCACUGGCUCGGUACUGACGCUGAGGUGCGAAAGCGUGGGGAGCAAACGGG